UCAGAUUGCAGGCUGCAACUCGCCUGCAUGAAGUCGGAAUUGCUAGUAAUCGCAGAUCAGCAUGCUGCGGUGAAUACGUUCCCGGGCCUUGUACACACCGCCCGUCACACCAUGGGAGUCGGUAACACCCGAAGUCGGUAGCCUAACCGUAAGGAGGGCGCCGCCGAAGGUGGGAUUGAUGACUGGGGUGAAGUCGUAACAAGGUAAC
rnacentral:rRNA from 1 species